UGGGGAAUAUUGGACAAUGGGCGCAAGCCUGAUCCAGCAAUGCCGCGUGAGUGAUGAAGGCCUUAGGGUUGUAAAGCUCUUUUACCCGGGAAGAUAGUGACUGUACCGGGAGAAUAAGCCCCGGCUAACUCCGUGCCAGCAGCCGCGGUAAUACGGAGGGGGCUAGCGUUGUUCGGAAUUACUGGGCGUAAAGCGCACGUAGGCGGCUUCCUAAGUCAGGGGUGAAAGCCUGGAGCUCAACUCCAGAACUGCCUUUGAGACUGGGUCGCUUGAAUCCGGGAGAGGUGAGUGGAAUUCCGAGUGUAGAGGUGAAAUUCGUAGAUAUUCGGAAGAACACCAGUGGCGAAGGCGGCUCACUGGACCGGCAUUGACGCUGAGGUGCGAAAGCGUGGGGAGCAAACAG
rnacentral:rRNA from 1 species